GCCAUGCCGCGUGCAGGAUGACGGUCCUAUGGAUUGUAAACUGCUUUUAUACGAGAAGAAACACUGCUUCGUGAAGCAGCUUGACGGUAUCGUAAGAAUAAGGAUCGGCUAACUCCGUGCCAGCAGCCGCGGUAAUACGGAGGAUCCAAGCGUUAUCCGGAAUCAUUGGGUUUAAAGGGUCCGUAGGCGGUUUAAUAAGUCAGUGGUGAAAGCCCAUCGCUCAACGGUGGAACGGCCAUUGAUACUGUUAAACUUGAAUUAUUAGGAAGUAACUAGAAUAUGUAGUGUAGCGGUGAAAUGCUUAGAGAUUACAUGGAAUACCAAUUGCGAAGGCAGGUUACUACUAAUGGAUUGACGCUGAUGGACGAAAGCGUGGGUAGCGAACAGGAUUAGAUACCCUGGUAGUCCACGCCGUAAACGAUGGAUACUAGCUGUUGGAAGCAAUUUCAGUGGCUAAGCGAAAGUGAUAAGUAUCCCACCUGGGGAGUACGUUCGCAAGAAUGAAACUCAAAGGAAUUGACGGGGGCCCGCACAAGCGGUGGAGCAUGUGGUUUAAUUCGAUGAUACGCGAGGAACCUUACCAAGGCUUAAAUGUAGAUUGACCGAUUUGGAAACAGAUCUUUC
rnacentral:rRNA from 1 species